GCUGAUGGUCCGGGAGAGGCUCUG
rnacentral:piRNA from 1 species